CCCAGGAUCGUUGGGAAAUCGCGCCGAGUUAGAGGUGCAGGAGAAGGCCUCGGUUGCCGAUGUCGUCGAAUCAAUUGGGGCGCCGCGCGGGCAGGUGUUUGCGGUGCUCGUGGACGGACGUCAGGCCGCUAUUGAUCAAACGCUGCAUGAGGGGGCCGAGGUAACACUGAUGCCCCCGUUCGCAGGAGGAGAAGGGUUGCCUCGCGAAUUCGCUCAGCGCGGCGGCAUCGCCUCGACUACCUGAGACUCCCUUCCGGCAAGCGCUUUGCCGACGAGCCCAUCGAUGUCGAGUCGGCUUUCGGCGGCCUCAGCCUGGCCCACGCUCGUGUGCGUCGACGUCGA
rnacentral:misc_RNA from 1 species